rnacentral:misc_RNA from 1 species
GAUGAAGAACGUAGCGAAAUGCGAUAAGUAAUGUGAAUUGCAGAAUUCAGUGAAUCAUCGAAUCUUUGAACGCACAUUGCGCCCGCCAGUAUUCUGGCAGGCAUGCCUGUUCGAGCGUCAUUACAACCCUCAGGCCCCCGGGCCUGGCGUUGGGGAUCGGCGGAAGCCCCCUGUGGGCACACGCCGUCCCUCAAAUACAGUGGCGGUCCCGCCGCAGCUUCCAUUGCGUAGUAGCUAACACCUCGCAACUGGAGAGCGGCGCGGCCAUGCCGUAAAACACCCAACUUCUGAAUGUUGACCUCGAAUCAGGUAGGAAUACCCGCUGAACUUAAGCAUAUCAAUAAGCGGAGGA